rnacentral:tRNA from 1 species
GCCCCCAUCGUCUAGUGAUU